UUUUUUUUUUUUUUUUUUUUUUUUUUUUUUUUUUUUUUUUUGGGGCAAGACAAGGGAGAGCGACUGAGGUGC
rnacentral:ribozyme from 13 species